rnacentral:rRNA from 1 species
GACGAACGCUGGCGGCGUGCUUAACACAUGCAAGUUGUGCGACGGGUAUUUGAGGUGGUAACACGGAUGAUACUACGGAGCAGCGGACGGGUGAGUAUAACAUGAGAACCUAUCCUUCAAAGGGGGACAACGUUUAGAAAUGGACGCUAAUACCCCAUAAGCCGAGAGGUUAAAGCGGAGACGCGAUGGAGGAGGGGCUCGUGCCCUAUCAGCUAGUUGGUGAGGUAACGGCUCACCAAGGCGACGACGGGUAGCCGGCCUGAGAGGGUGAACGGCCACACUGGAACUGAGAUACGGUCCAGACUCCUACGGGAGGCAGCAGUGGGGAAUAUUGGGCAAUGGGAGCAAUCCUGACCCAGCAACGCCGCGUGAACGAAGAAGGCCCUUGGGUCGUAAAGUUCUUUUAUGUGGGAAGAAUAAGAUGACGGUACCACAUGAAUAAGCCCCGGCUAACUACGUG